CCCUGCUGACUCAUAAAGGAACCAAACUUCCUCUAUCACUGUCUGGGAGCUUGUUUCAAACUGUAACGCCCUAAGUUUGUACCCCGGACACUACACAGUGCUUACGACCAUGAAGGACGACAAGCUAAACCAUGACUGAUAACUAUUAUAAGCACUGAAUAAUAAUAUUGAAAUAAAUAUGAAAAAUAGGUUGAAAUGCCAUAAGGUUCA
rnacentral:lncRNA from 1 species